rnacentral:lncRNA from 1 species
GAACCUUAUGCGAACCUUGUGCGAAUUCGUUUUUGGGACAAAUUUUCAAAACCAUGCUCUCUGUCUGGGUACUCACAGGAAUGCGAAAUUUUCGCAUAACACAAGGUGUAAUGCGAAAUUUGCAUUUCCUCUUUAAAGACCGUGUUCUCCUCUUCCCAUGCUCACUUUCUUCUUCAUUUCUCUCAACAUCUCUCUUCCAAUCACCAAAUCCCUUCCUUAAGUUUCUUUUCUUCAUCAUUCCCCACUCUCAACACCACCAUGGCAGCCCAUCUCCAUAACUCCACCUCAUAGCCGCGACAGUCACUAUUCAUCACCGUCCACCCCUUCAAUUUUCAGCUCUUUCCACCAUAAAAAACCUCUCAAUUCCUCACUCAACACUCUAAAUCCAU